rnacentral:rRNA from 1 species
GACGAACGCUGGCGGCGUGCUUAACACAUGCAAGUCGAACGGGAAGGCCCUGCUUUUGCGGGGUGCUCGAGUGGCGAACGGGUGAGUAACACGUGAGUAACCUGCCCUUGACUUUGGGAUAACUUCAGGAAACUGGGGCUAAUACCGGAUAGGAGCUCCUGCUGCAUGGUGGGGGUUGGAAAGUUUCGGCGGUUGGGGAUGGACUCGCGGCUUAUCAGCUUGUUGGUGGGGUAGUGGCUUACCAAGGCUUGGACGGGUAGCCGGCCUGAGAGGGUGACCGGCCACAUUGGGACUGAGAUACGGCCCAGACUCCUACGGGAGGCAGCAGUGGGGAAUAUUGCACAAUGGGCGGAAGCCUGAUGCAGCAACGCCGCGUGCGGGAUGACGGCCUUCGGGUUGUAAACCGCUUUCGCCUGUGACGAAGCGUGAGUGACGGUAAUGGGUAAAGAAGCACCGGCUAACUACGUGCCAGCCGCCGCCGUAACAC